rnacentral:rRNA from 1 species
AUUGAACGCUGGCGGCAUGCUUUACACAUGCAAGUCGAACGGUAACAGGGUGCUUGCACCGCUGACGAGUGGCGAACGGGUGAGUAAUGCGUCGGAACGUGCCGAGUAGUGGGGGAUAACGCAGCGAAAGUUGUGCUAAUACCGCAUACGUACUGAGGUAGAAAGUGGGGGACCUUCGGGCCUCACGCUAUUCGAGCGGCCGACGUCUGAUUAGCCAGUAGGUGAGGUAAAGGCUCACCUAGGCGACGAUCAGUAGCGGGUCUGAGAGGAUGAUCCGCCACACUGGGACUGAGACACGGCCCAGACUCCUACGGGAGGCAGCAGUGGGGAAUUUUGGACAAUGGGCGAAAGCCUGAUCCAGCCAUGCCGCGUGUCUGAAGAAGGCCUUCGGGUUGUAAAGGACUUUUGUCAGGGAGGAAAUCGCACGGGCUAAUACCCUGUGUGGAUGACGGUACCGGAAUAAGAAGCACCGGCUAACUACGUGCCAGCAGCCGCCGUAA